AUGUUGUUCAAGAAAGGAUUGUUUACAUCUAAGCAGACUACUUUGAUGCAAUAUGGGUUUGUAAAUAACCUGUCAGCAACAUUAUCUGUUAUUACCUUCUUGAAGCUAGCAACAUGGUGUUCCUUUUAUUGGCCCAUAUUUAUUCUUAUAGCCUUUGGUUCUUCACUUGUGCCAACUGAUUUCUUAUCUUCAACCUCUGCUUAUUUGCAUAUGUCCUUAAUGUUGCUUCCUUUUCCUGGAGAGGCUAGACUUCAUAUUUUUUUGCCACUACAACAAUAUUUUUUUUACUAUGUAGUGAAAUAA
rnacentral:rRNA from 1 species